GCAUCUGGGAUAGCUCCGUCAGUGGAGCACGAGACUCUUAAUCUCAGGGUCGUGGGUUCAGGCCCCACGUUGGGCA
rnacentral:tRNA from 1 species